AUUGAACGCUGGCGGCAGGCCUAACACAUGCAAGUCGAGCGAGCGGCGGACGGGUGAGUAAUGUCUGGGGAUCUGCCCGAUAGAGGGGGAUAACUACUGGAAACGGUGGCUAAUACCGCAUACUAUCGGAUGUGCCCAUAUGGGAUUAGCUAGUAGGUGGGGUAAAGGCUCACCUAGGCGACGAUCUCUAGCUGGUCUGAGAGGAUGAUAAGCCACACGAUGACUGAGACACGGCCCAGACUCCUACGUGAGGCAGAAGUGGGGAAUAUUGCACAAUGGGCGCAAGCCUGAUGCAGCCAUGCCGCGUGUAUGAAGAAGGCCUUAGGGUUGUAAAGUACUUUCAGCGGGGAGGCGUUACCCGCAGAAGAAGCACCGGCUAACUCCGUGCCAGCAGCCGCGGUAAUUC
rnacentral:rRNA from 1 species